UGUAUUCAAAAUUUCCAAAAUAGGUAUUAUGUAGCUCCUUUUUGGCUCAAAUGAGUAUAUAUAUUUUACUCAUAAUAUAUAGUACAUGUUUAAGAUGGCUAACAUAAUUAAUGUUGCCUGCGGUGAUGAUAUAAGUUAUGUUUUGGACAGAUACAGACAUCAUGCCAUUGUUAAUGUACGGGUAGGCGCUCAUAGGUAAGAUCUUAUGCAGGUUGCGGUUAGCGGUAUACUACUGUUGCCUUUAUUUGGAUAAAAUUUGAACAAUAUCAUUUAAUGCAAUUGACGUUUGGUUUUUAUACGAAAGACUAUUUAUAAAGCACAAGAUUAGGGAUUAACAUUGUUCUUCGAAUGAAUGUGUGAAAAUUAUAAAAAAAAUAUUAAUCGAAA
rnacentral:lncRNA from 1 species